ACACGGAACGACGAGCCGUUCUGUACACUCUCUGGACCCAUCGCGCAGCGUGGGAGACACAAGCCACCCGGGUCUGGUGCUCGUCGGGGGCCGCCGAGAAAACAGUUACUAGUAUUGAGAGAAAGGGAGGCUAGGAAGUCCCCCUUUUCAAAGAAAUCAACGGAGCUGGGAGCGCUGCCGGCGGCUCAGUCCCGCGCCCCGGGAAGAGCGCUGAGGGACCGCCUCUGCCGCCGGCUCCCGCGCUGCCAGGUGGAGGCCGUGCGCGCGCCCAGGUGUCUCCGCAACUUGGUGGCUGCGCGCGGCAGUGACCCAGCCCCCGGCGCCCGGUGGGAGCGGCAGCCAGAGAGGCGAGCGGCGGGGACGCUCGGGGUGAGCGUUGCCAAGGGGGCACCGGCGCCCCGGCACUUUCUCAGCGCCUGGUUCUCCGGGUCCUUCCGGAAUCGGCAUCUUUGUUUGGGCUUCGCGCUGGGCUCGGCGCCGCGGGGCACCACUGCCUUCCCCGCGGAGGAGCAUCCUGCAGCGGCGGACGGUGCUGGGGGCGGCGGGAAAGUGCACCCCCCGGGUGGGAGCCGGCUCUUGGGGCGCGCAAGGGGGGAGGCAAGGUCUCUGAGUGGGGGGCGGGGGGCAAAGUGCAUCCCCCCCCGGGAUGGGAGGCCGGCUCUUGGGGCGCACAAAGGGGGCGAGGCAAGGUCUCUGAAUGGGGGGCGGGGGGCAAAGUUCACCCCCCCCGGGAUGGGAGGCCGGCUCUUGGGGCGCGCAAGGGGGGGAGGCAAGGUCUCUGAGUGGGGGAGGGGGGGCCCGGGGCGGGGGGCAGGCGAGGAGCUAGGUGCGGGGCAGGCAGGCAAAGUGCGGAAGCCGUACGGGGAUGCUUCUAGAAAGUGGGGUGGGAGAAGGAGCUGGGGCGGGCGUGGGGAGGGAAGGCAUCCGUGUCAGAGCGUGCGUGCGAGCCGAUGCAGAACCCGAGGGGCGGGAGCGGCUCCGAGUGUGCGGGCGGGAGCGGGGGGCGCCGGCUCGCGUGUUUCCGCGCAGCUGUAA
rnacentral:lncRNA from 12 species